UCGUCAGGUGGGAUAAUCCUUACCUGUUUCUCCUUUGGAGGGGAGAUAAAACAUGAUGAUUGGAGAUGCAUGAAACAUAAAAAAAAAAAAUUAAAAAAAUAAAAAGAAAAAAUCAGUAUCACAUUUCACUGGUGUUAUGUCUAAA
ensembl:snoRNA U8 U8 small nucleolar RNA